UGACUCCCACCUCACCGGUUCGCUCACCUCCGCCCUCCCCAUCAGCCCCCAAGGUACGUUGUUGUGUGUGUGUGUGUGUGUGUGUGUGUGUGUGUUUUUAUGAUGUCAGCUCAGGCUUCUGUGGGAAUGACCUCUGCUGUUCCUAUUACAAUGCAGUCAACAGCUAAAUCGCCAUCAUUCUCAGUGGAUAAACACGCCCGUCCUGGACCAGACAAGAGUUCUGACCCACGACCCAGGGCCAAGUCCUCCAGACAUGUCACUGUGAGGUGUUACUACAUACAUAAACCUUUACCUACUUCUGGGCUGUGUGAGCCCGCCAUAACCUGAAAUACCUGCCCUUUGCACUCUUUGCCUUCCUCUGCCUCUCUUUGUGCUCCAACAAUAACCCGGAUGAGUUACAGCGAGAGCGACAGGUGAACAAAGUGCAGGAAGAAAUCGGUGCCAAAGUCCGGAGGCCUGAACCUCUCACUGCGCCGCAGCUACACAUUAACACGCUCGGCACACGGGCCGAGCGCUGCCAGCGUUUUACAGCACCUCCAAACACACCCUGCGGAUUUGGGCGCCGCUCUGUCAACAGCGCCGUCGCCAGACAUCACCUGGACCCUCCAGCCAAUCGAAGAGAGGCACCGAGGCCGCGCACGAGCCCCCGAGUCUAUGGACGGGCAGGAAACCGGGCGCUGAGCAGGCGGAGGGAUGCUGGUGCUGCACCACUGCUGUGGAGCCGCCUGGAUGAACAGCACGUGUGACACCACGCUGACCUACCUGAUGGUGAGCGUGACCUCUGACCUGGUGGAUAAACUCCAAGAAGCCAACGCUGGCUGAAUCCGCAAACGCGUCAGCUAGGCUGCAGCCGGACGUCCUCUCAGGAGCGCGGAUCUCACACUGUCCGGCUCAUCCGGAGCGGCGGGACGGACUGUAUUUUAUUGUGAUCUGGGAAAAACCGAGGCGAGGAUGCUGGCAGCUGUGAUGUGUGUUGGGAGGAAUGCGGCAGUGUUAUCGCUCACUGAGUUAUGCAAGAACGAUUUGGUGGAAACCUUUGCCUGGUACAGCGUUAGGCCUCAGCCUCACACACACACACACACACACACACACACACACACACACACACACACACACACACACACACACACACACACACACACACACACACACACACACACACACACACACACACACACACACACAGAUCCUGGCCUCAGGACUUUCUAAUUACCCUCAGUGAAUGGGAGGCAGUCGGACACACACAGGGUUAUCACACACCCCAGCACCGCUCCUCAUAUUUCUUCCAAUUAUCCUAUUUUUAGCUUUCAUCUAGGUUCUUGUUUUGCCUUCAGAGGGCACGAGGUGCAUGGGAGGCUCGGUGGGCAGAAGACUCAUUUAGACGUCACGUUUUUAGCCGGUGCCAAAAUCUAGACUUUGCUUUAGAGUCUUUGCUUCUCUUGUGUGUGUCAGAAACCAGAGCUCAGCACGAAUCAUUCAUCAGCAAAACAUUAGAGUCUAAAGUGGAAAACUGUCAGACAUCUGGAAAGAAAGUACGAAAAUAAAAUAAAUUACAC